rnacentral:rRNA from 1 species
GCAGAACGCGAAGAACCUUACCAAGGCUUGACAUGGAUUUCUAAGCACGUGAAAGCGUGUGACCCUUCGGGGGACUUCCACAGGUGCUGCAUGGCCGUCGUCAGCUCGUGUCGUGAGAUGUUGGGUUAAGUCCCGCAACGAGCGCAACCCUUGUGAACAGUUGCCAGCGCGUCAUGGCGGGAACUCUGUUCAGACUGCCCAGAUCAACUGGGAGGAAGGUGGGGACGACGUCAGGUCAGUAUGGCCCUUACGCCUCGGGCUGCACACGUACUACAAUGCCCAGCACAAUGAGAACCGAUGCCGCGAGGUGGAGGAAAUCUGCAAAACUGGGCUCAGUUCGGAUUGGAGGCUGCAACUCGCCUCCAUGAAGUUGGAAUCGCUAGUAAUGGGGCAUCAUCUACGGCCCCGUGAAUACGUUCCCGGGUCUUGUACACACCG